rnacentral:rRNA from 1 species
UGGGGAAUAUUGCACAAUGGGCGCAAGCCUGAUGCAGCGACGCCGCGUGCGGGAUGGAGGCCUUCGGGUUGUAAACCGCUUUUGUUCAAGGGCAAGGCAGGCUUUCGGGCCUCUUGAGUGGAUUGUUCGAAUAAGCACCGGCUAACUACGUGCC